rnacentral:rRNA from 1 species
GUUCGAUCAUAGCUCAGAUUGAACGCGCUGGCGGGAUCUUACAUCGCAGAUCGACAGCAGCACGGACUUCGGUCUGGUGGCGAGUGGCGAACGGGUGAGUAAUGUAUCCCGGAACGUGCCUAGUAGCAGGGGAUAACUACGCAGCGUAGCUAAUACCGCAUACGCCCUUCGGGGAAAGCAGGGGACCUUCGGGCCUCGCACUAUUAGAGCGACGAUAUCGGAUUAGCUAGUUGGUGGGGUAACGGCUCACCAAGGCGACGAUCCGUAGCUGGUUUGAAGGACGACCAGCCAUGGGACUGGGGCCACGGCCCGAACUCCUACGGGAGGCAGCAGUGGGGAAUUUUGGACAAUGGGGAAACCCUGAUCCAGUCAUCCCGCGUGUGCGAUGAAGGCCUUCGGGUUGUAAAAGCACUUUUUUGGCAGGGGAAGAAACGGCACGGGAUAGCCCCGUGCAACUGACAAUACCUGCAGAAUAAGCACCGGCUAACUACGUGCCAGCAGCCGCGGUAAUACGUAGAUUGCAAGCGUUAAUCGGAAUUACUGGGCGUAAAACGUCGCGGGCGGUUCGGAAAGAAAGAUGUGAAAUCCAGAACGCUUUGGAACUGCAUUUUUAACUACCGAGCUAGAGUGUGUCAGAGGAGGUGGAAUUCCGCGUGUAGCAGUGAAAUGCGCGGAGUAAUGAGGAGAACACCGAUGGCGAAGGCAGCCUCCUGGGAUAACGCGGCCGCUCAUGCACGAAAGCGUGGGGAGCAAACAGGAUUAGAUGCCCUGGUAGUCCACGCCUAAACGUCAACUAGCUGUUGGGGCCUUCGGGCCUUGGUAGCGCAGCUAACUUGCGUGGGGAUUGACCGCCUGGGGAGGUACGGUCGCAAGACAAAACUCAAAGGAAUUGACGGGACCCACUGGCGAUUGGAUGAUGUCUGGAUUAAUUCGAUGCAACGCGAAAAACCUUACCUACCCUUGACAUGUCUGGAACUGAAGAGAUUUGGGGUGCUCGCCAGAGAACCGGAACACGGGUGCUGCAUGGCUGUCGUCAGCUCGUGUCGUGAGAUGUUGGGUUAGAGUCCCGCAACGGGCACAACCUUAUCAAUGUAGUUGCUACGAAGGGCACUCUAAUGAGACUGCCGGUGACAAACCGGAGGAAGGUGGGGAUGACGACCAGGUCCUCAUGGCCCUUAUGGGUAGGACUUCACACGUCAUACAAUGGUCGGGACAGAGGGUCGCCAACCCGCGAGGAGCCAAUCCCAGAGAAACCCGAUCGUAGUCCGGAUCGCGGUCUGCAACUCGACUGCGUGAAGUCGGAAUCGCUGUUAAUCAUGGUCAGCAUGUCGCGGUGAAUACGUUCCCGGGUCUUGUACACACCGCCGAUCACACCAUGGGAGUGGGUUUUACCAGAAGUAGUUAGCCUAACCGUAAGGAGGGCGAUUACCACGGUAAGUUCGCGGCUAGGUGAAGUCGUAACAAAGUAA